UUAAAUUGAAUAGUUUGAUCAUGGCUCAGAUUGAACGCUGGCGGCAGGCCUAACACAUGCAAGUCGAACGGUAACAGGAAGCAGCUUGCUGCUUCGCUGACGAGUGGCGGACGGGUGAGUAAUGUCUGGGAAACUGCCUGAUGGAGGGGGAUAACUACUGGAAACGGUAGCUAAUACCGCAUAACGUCGCAAGACCAAAGAGGGGGACCUUCGGGCCUCUUGCCAUCGGAUGUGCCCAGAUGGGAUUAGCUUGUUGGUGGGGUAACGGCUCACCAAGGCGACGAUCCCUAGCUGGUCUGAGAGGAUGACCAGCCACACUGGAACUGAGACACGGUCCAGACUCCUACGGGAGGCAGCAGUGGGGAAUAUUGCACAAUGGGCGCAAGCCUGAUGCAGCCAUGCCGCGUGUAUGAAGAAGGCCUUCGGGUUGUAAAGUACUUUCAGCGGGGAGGAAGGGAGUAAAGUUAAUACCUUUGCUCAUUGACGUUACCCGCAGAAGAAGCACCGGCUAACUCCGUGCCAGCAGCCGCGGUAAUACGGAGGGUGCAAGCGUUAAUCGGAAUUACUGGGCGUAAAGCGCACGCAGGCGGUUUGUUAAGUCAGAUGUGAAAUCCCCGGGCUCAACCUGGGAACUGCAUCUGAUACUGGCAAGCUUGAGUCUCGUAGAGGGGGGUAGAAUUCCAGGUGUAGCGGUGAAAUGCGUAGAGAUCUGGAGGAAUACCGGUGGCGAAGGCGGCCCCCUGGACGAAGACUGACGCUCAGGUGCGAAAGCGUGGGGAGCAAACAGGAUUAGAUACCCUGGUAGUCCACGCCGUAAACGAUGUCGACUUGGAGGUUGUGCCCUUGAGGCGUGGCUUCCGGAGCUAACGCGUUAAGUCGACCGCCUGGGGAGUACGGCCGCAAGGUUAAAACUCAAAUGAAUUGACGGGGGCCCGCACAAGCGGUGGAGCAUGUGGUUUAAUUCGAUGCAACGCGAAGAACCUUACCUGGUCUUGACAUCCACGGAAGUUUUCAGAGAUGAGAAUGUGCCUUCGGGAACCGUGAGACAGGUGCUGCAUGGCUGUCGUCAGCUCGUGUUGUGAAAUGUUGGGUUAAGUCCCGCAACGAGCGCAACCCUUAUCCUUUGUUGCCAGCGGUCCGGCCGGGAACUCAAAGGAGACUGCCAGUGAUAAACUGGAGGAAGGUGGGGAUGACGUCAAGUCAUCAUGGCCCUUACGACCAGGGCUACACACGUGCUACAAUGGCGCAUACAAAGAGAAGCGACCUCGCGAGAGCAAGCGGACCUCAUAAAGUGCGUCGUAGUCCGGAUUGGAGUCUGCAACUCGACUCCAUGAAGUCGGAAUCGCUAGUAAUCGUGGAUCAGAAUGCCACGGUGAAUACGUUCCCGGGCCUUGUACACACCGCCCGUCACACCAUGGGAGUGGGUUGCAAAAGAAGUAGGUAGCUUAACCUUCGGGAGGGCGCUUACCACUUUGUGAUUCAUGACUGGGGUGAAGUCGUAACAAGGUAACCGUAGGGGAACCUGCGGUUGGAUCACCUCCUUACCUUAAAGAAGC
rnacentral:rRNA from 1 species